rnacentral:rRNA from 1 species
UACGUAGGGUGCAAGCGUUGUCCGGAAUUACUGGGCGUAAAGAGCUCGUAGGCGGUUUGUCGCGUCGUCUGUGAAAUCCCGCAGCUCAACUGCGGGCUUGCAGGCGAUACGGGCAGACUUGAGUACUGCAGGGGAGACUGGAAUUCCUGGUGUAGCGGUGAAAUGUGCAGAUAUCAGGAGGAACACCGGUGGCGAAGGCGGGUCUCUGGGCAGUAACUGACGCUGAGGAGCGAAAGCGUGGGUAGCGAACGGG